rnacentral:lncRNA from 1 species
GGUUUGGAGCUGAGUUGUUUUUGACGUGGGAUUCGGGUUUGAUUUCUGGGUUCGUGGGUCAGAUUGAAGACGGGUCUGGUUGCGGAUUCGCUGGUCUGAAUUUGGAUUUUUGGAGGUUGCUGAUUUUGUUGUUUAUUUAUGUUGAUGGUAGUUUGUCGUUGAUGGAGGGGUUAUCAUUGUUGGAGUUGUACGCUGGUGAUGUUAUACACUGGUUGCGGAUUCGCUGGUCUGAAUUUGGAUUUUUGGAGGUUGCUGAUUUUGUUGUUUAUUUAUGUUGAUGGUAGUUUGUCGUUGAUGGAGGGGUUAUCAUUGUUGGAGUUGUACGCUGGUGAUGUUAUACACACGAGAAGAAGAAAAAAAUUGUUGGGCCGGGUCAUUAUUUGGGCUGUUGGGCUGAUGGCUGUUUCUUUGUUAAUUGGGGGGUUAUUUAAUAUAAC